rnacentral:rRNA from 1 species
AUUGAACGCUGGCGGCAUAGCUAAAACAUGCAAGUUGAGCGAAGCAGUAGCAAUACUGACUGAGCGGCGUAAGGGUGAGGAAUACAUUUCUAUGUACCCCAAGGUCGAGGAUAGCCAAGAGAAAUCUUGGGUAAUACUCGAUGUGGUCGUAAGAUCAAAGGUUUACCGCCUUGGGAGCGGGGAAUGUCCUAUCAGGUAGUUGGUGGGGUUACGGCUCACCAAGCCAAAGACGGGUAGCAGGUGUGAGAGCACGGCCUGCCACAUCGAAACUGAGACACUGUUCGGACUCCUACGGGAGGCUGCAGUAACGAAUCUUCCGCAAUGCGCGAAAGCGUGACGGGGUAAUGCCGCGUGCAGGAUGAAGCCCUUCGGGGUGUAAACUGCUGUCAGGGGCUAGGAAUUUCAUGACCAGCCCCAAAGGAAGAGCCGGCUAACUCUGUGCCAGCAGCCGCGGUAAUACAGAGGGCUCGAGCGUUAAUCGGAAUCACUGGGCUUAAAGCGUGCGUAGGCGGAUCUUCAGGCUUGUUGUGAAAUCCCACGGCUCAACCGUGGAAUUGCGAUGAGAACCGGAGAUCUUGAGUCAGGUAGAGGCGGGUGGAACGAUAGGUGGAGCGGUGAAAUGCGUAGAUAUCUAUCGGAACGCCAAAGGAGAAGUCAGCCCGCUGGGCCUGUUCUGACGCUGAGGCACGAAAGCGUGGGUAGCAAACGGGAUUAGAUACCCCGGUAGUCCACGCCGUAAACGAUGCGCACUAGACUGAGGGAGCUUGACGCUUUCUCAGUCGUAGCAAAAGUGCUAAGUGCGCCGCCUGGGGAGUACGGUCGCAAGAUUAAAACUCAAAGGAACUGACGGGGGCUCACACAAGCGGUGGAGCAUGUGGCUUAAUUCGAAGCAACGCGAAGAACCUUAUCCUAGGCUUGACAUGUACGUAUUAACUCCCCGAAAAGGGAGCCACUCCCGCAAG